AGGUGUCUGGGGAGAGGGACGUCUGGGCGUCUCUGCUGAGUCUGCUGCCCCCGCGGCCCGGUCCCGGAUAAGCAGAAGACGAUGAGAUGAGAGAGACGAGAGUUAUUAAAGCAUUAACCUUUACAUGUAGUGUCAUGUAGUCAUUUGAAAAAUAAAGUUUUAUUGACAUUAUGGUUUUCACUCACCUAGGUUACAAAUCUUCAUGCCCUGCCACAACAAACUGGUAGAGCCUUCCCUUACAACAAACCAGAGUUUGACAGGAGACAUUCUGAAAAAGCUGUUUCAUCAAAAGUCCAUUUAUGUCAGGCCUGACAAAGUAAUUGUAGCUGAGGAAAAAGAAUCUUCAAGUUUAGAGGAAGACACUAGAGACGCAAAGAGCUGUGAUCUUGAAGAGGUAUUUGACAUUGACAAAUUAAUAAUUGGAAGAGUUUGUAACAUUCCCAAAGAAGCCACUUCAUCCAUUCCCACUGUAGAGGGCCAGUCCCUCUCCUGUGAUAUUCCUUCCAUCUCUACUGGUGAUGAUGUUGUUUGAACCUCAGUCACCACCAGUGGUCACUCCCAGGCACCCUCAAGUUGUUGCCUUACCAGUGCUGACAAUGAUCGCCUUUCUGCUGUGUCCAACGGUUUGCCCCAACACAGCAUACCUGAAAAUAGCUCAUCCAUUACACCCUACAGCACAUACCUUGACCUAUUUGAGGAAGGCUAUCCCUCUGAUGACCCAGAUCUCCAGGAAGCCAUUUCAAGGUCUUUAGACAGCAGUGCCAGUGAAGUGACCGAAAGAUACCAGUUGAAAGGAUUGUGGAGCAGAUGGCUUCUCGUGUAAAUGAUGAAGGCACUGUACGGUUCAACAUCGUAAGAAGAAAUGUGUGGGAUGGAGCAUCCAGAGCCAUGGGCAGAUCAAAUUUUGCGCCUGAGAAGAAAGUUGAUGUGAAGUUUGUGGAUGAUUAUGGAAUAUCGGAAGGUGCUGCAGACAAUGGAGGCCCUACGCGGGAGUUUUUCCGACUUUGUUUACAUGAAAUCAAGGACAGGAUUGGCAUCUUUGAGGGACCAUCUAAUUCCAAAAUUCUGACAUGCAACUCCAAAGCAAUGAAAGACAACGGAUACUACUAUGCUGGCCAGAUUAUGGCAAUGUCGAUUGGCCAUGGGGGGUAGAGUCCAUGCUUCCUAUCUGGACUCUUAUAUGAUUGUCUUCACAAGGGUCCAGAUAACAUCAAGGUCGCACCAGAAGACAUUCCUGAUGAAGACAUUAAAUCAAAGGUUAUAUCUAUCUUGCAGGCGGACACUGAAUCACAACUACAGGAUGCAGUUAUGCAGGCAGCUAGCUUGAUCAGUCUUGCUGGUCAUAGUGUGCGCAUAACUCUAGCAAACAAACAAGAGACGGCUUUCGACUUGGCUCACUGGUUCAGAGAUGGCUUAAAGGCUCUUGGAGUACUGGAUGAGCUCCUGAGAUAUCCUGUACAACUGAAGAGCCUUUUCACAAAGCCAGAAAAGGGCAUGAUGGCAGCCGAAGUAGAGAACCUCUUUCACAUCAAACAGUCUGAAAGAGGGAGCAACACAUUCCACAAAGAGAGUCGAACACUGGCUUUCUGGCAAGACUAUCUUCAGGAUGCUGAAUGUGAAGUAAGUGUCUCUCUGGAGGAUAUUCUGGUUUUCUUCUCUGGAUGUGACAGCAUUCCAGCACUAGUGUUUUCUCCCAAGCCAAGCCUUGACUUCAUCAGUUAUUCUCGUUUUCCAGUGGCCAAUACUUGUGAAAACAUUAUUCGAUGACCAUUACACAAUGCAUACAGUGAUUUUAAAACUGACAUGGAUUUUGCCAUACGUAAUUCACCAGGUUUUGGCAGAGCAUGAGAGGUCUUAUCAUAUGAAGGUUCAGUUACCUUUAAUUUCAGUGUUAGUUUAUUUUUUUGUUUGUUGAGGAACUGGUGUUAUUGUACACAUUGUAAUCAAUAAAAAUAGACAAAAAGUAAGCCUAUGCUCCAUGAAAGUAAAAGAAGACUAAACCAAAUCAAGUUUAUGUUUGCAUAUUAACCUGAAAAUCUUCGAAAGUUCUUUUUUUUACACCUAUAAUGUGCAUUGGGUUGAAGUUUUGAUGGGCACAGUAUUGAGCCCUUCUUUUUGGGUUUCAGUCAAGACUGUUCAAAUAAAUAUCUGCUGAG